rnacentral:rRNA from 2 species
UGCAUGUACUUUAUGAAUAAGGAUCGGCUAACUCCGUGCCAGCAGCCGCGGUAAUACGGAGGAUCCGAGCGUUAUCCGGAUUUAUUGGGUUUAAAGGGAGCGUAGAUGGAUGUUUAAGUCAGUUGUGAAAGUUUGCGGCUCAACCGUAAAAUUGCAGUUGAUACUGGAUGUCUUGAGUGCAGUUGAGGCAGGCGGAAUUCGUGGUGUAGCGGUGAAAUGCUUAGAUAUCACGAAGAACUCCGAUUGCGAAGGCAGCCUGCUAAGCUGCAACUGACAUUGAGGCUCGAAAGUGUGGGUAUCAAACAGGAUUAGAUACCCUGGUAGUCCACACGGUAAACGAUGAAUACUCGCUGUUUGCGAUAUACGGCAAGCGGCCAAGCGAAAGCGUUAAGUAUUCCACCUGGGGAGUACGCCGGCAACGGUGAAACUCAAAGGAAUUGACGGGGGCCCGCACAAGCGGAGGAACAUGUGGUUUAAUUCGAUGAUACGCGAGGAACCUUACCCGGGCUUAAAUUGCACUCGAAUGAUCCGGAAACGGUUCAGCUAGCAAUAGCGAGUGUGAAGGUGCUGCAUGGUUGUCGUCAGCUCGUGCCGUGAGGUGUCGGCUUAAGUGCCAUAACGAGCGCAACCCUUGUUGUCAGUUACUAACAGGUGAUGCUGAGGACUCUGACAAGACUGCCAUCGUAAGAUGUGAGGAAGGUGGGGAUGACGUCAAAUCAGCACGGCCCUUACGUCCGGGGCUACACACGUGUUACAAUGGGGGGUACAGAGGGCCGCUACCACGCGAGUGGAUGCCAAUCCCUAAACCCCUCUCAGUUCGGACUGGAGUCUGCAACCCGACUCCACGAAGCUGGAUUCGCUAGUAAUCGCGCAUCAGCCACGGCGCGGUGAAUACGUUCCCGGGCCUUGUACACACCGCCCGUCAAGCCAUG